rnacentral:rRNA from 1 species
UACAGAGGGUGCGAGCGUUGUUCGGAAUUAUUGGGCGUAAAGCGCUUGUAGGCGGCACGUCAAGUCGCGUGUGAAAUCCCCAGGCUUAACCUGGGAAGUGCGCGCGAAACUGACGAGCUUGAGUGCCGGAGAGGGUCGCGGAAUUCCCGGUGUAGAGGUGAAAUUCGUAGAUAUCGAGAGGAACACCGGUGGCGAAGGCGGCCAACUGGACGAAUACUGACGCUGAGACACGAAAGCGUGGGGAGCAAACAGG